GACAGAGGAUGCAAGCGUUAUCCGGAAUGAUUGGGCGUAAAGCGUCUGUAGGUGGCUUUUCAAGUCCGCCGUCAAAUCCCAGGGCUCAACCCUGGACAGGCGGGUGGAAACUACCAAGCUGGAGUACGGUAGGGGGCAGAGGGAAUUUCCGGUGGAGCGGUGAAAUGCGUAGAGAUCGGAAAGAACACCAAUGGCGAAAGCACUCUGCUGGGCCGACACUGACACUGAGAGACGAAAGGCUAGGGGAGCAAAUGGG
rnacentral:rRNA from 1 species